rnacentral:rRNA from 1 species
GACGUAGGGCGCGAGCGUUGUCCGGAUUUAUUGGGCGUAAAGAGCUCGUAGGCGGCUUGUCGCGUCGACUGUGAAAUCCCGCGGCUCAACUGCGGGUCUGCAGUCGAUACGGGCAGGCUAGAGUUCGGUAGGGGAGACGUGGAAUUCCUGGUGUAGCGGUGAAAUGCGCAGAUAUCAGGAGGAACACCGAUGGCGAAGGCAGGUCUCUGGGCCGAUACUGACGCUGAGGAGCGAAAGCAUGGGGAGCGAACAGG